rnacentral:tRNA from 1 species
GUGCAUCGUUACUUGGAAUUUGAAAUUCUAUAUUGAUUAAAUAUCCCGAUGCUAUGCUUCUUG